UAAUGUAUGGGGAUCUGCCCGAUAGAGGGGGAUAACUACUGGAAACGGUGGCUAAUACCGCAUAAUGUCUACGGACCAAAGCAGGGGCUCUUCGGACCUUGCACUAUCGGAUGAACCCAUAUGGAUUAGCUAGUAGGUGGGGUAAAGGCUCACCUAGGCGACGAUCUCUAGCUGGUCUGAGAGGAUGAUCAGCCACACUGGGACUGAGACACGGCCCAG
rnacentral:rRNA from 1 species